rnacentral:tRNA from 1 species
GCCGAAGUGGUGAAAUUGGUAAACACAUACGCUUCAGGUGCGUAUUUCCCUUUGGGAUUUAAGGGUUCAAAUCCCUUCUUCGGCA